UUUCCGGUUGAUCCUGCCGGAGGCCACUGCUAUCGGAGUUCGAUUAAGCCAUGCGAGUCGAGAGGGUUUAGACCCUCGGCGGACUGCUCAGUAACACGUGGAUAACCUGCCCUAAGGUGGAGAAUAACCCCGGGAAACUGGGGAUAAUACUCCAUAGAUUAGAGAUACUGGAAUGUUCUUUAGUCAAAAGUUCUGGCGCCUUAGGAUGGAUCUGCGGUCGAUUAGGUUGUUGUUGGGGUAACGGCCCAACAAGCCUGUAAUCGAUACGGGUUGUGGGAGCAAGAGCCCGGAGAUGGAAUCUGAGACACGAUUCCAGGCCCUACGGGGCGCAGCAGGCGCGAAAACUUUACAAUGCAGGAAACUGUGAUAAGGGAACUCCGAGUGCCCGUAUACGCGGGCUGUCCAGGUGUUUAAAAGUCAUCUGAAGAAAGGGCCGGGCAAGACCGGUGCCAGCCGCCGCGGUAAUACCGGCGGCUCGAGUGGUGGCCACUAUUAUUGGGCUUAAAGCGUCCGUAGCUGGACUGAUAAGUCUCUUGGGAAAUCCGCCGGCUCAACCGGCGGGCGUCUAAGGGAUACUGUUGGCCUAGGGACCGGGAGAGGUGAGAGGUACUCCGGGGGUAGGAGUGAAAUCCUGUAAUCCCCGGGGGACCACCGAUGGCGAAGGCAUCUCACCAGAACGGCUCCGACAGUGAGGGACGAAAGCUGGGGGAGCAAACCGGAUUAGAUACCCGGGUAGUCCCAGCCGUAAACUAUGCGCGUUAGGUGUGCUGGUGACCACGUGUCAC
rnacentral:rRNA from 1 species